GCACUAAUGCACCGGAUCCCAUCAGAACUCCGCAGUUAAGCGUGCUUGGGCGAGAGUCGUACUUGGAUGGGUGACCUCUUAUAUAGUUUAUAUCAAAAUCGGUU
rnacentral:rRNA from 1 species